rnacentral:rRNA from 1 species
GAUGAACGCUGGCGGCGUGCCUAAUACAUGCAAGUCGAGCGAACGGACGAGAAGCUUGCUUCUCUGAUGUUAGCGGCGGACGGGUGAGUAACACGUGGAUAACCUACCUAUAAGACUGGGAUAACUUCGGGAAACCGGAGCUAAUACCGGAUGAUAUUUUGAACCGCAUGGUUCAAAAGUGAAAGACGGUCUUGCUGUCACUUAUAGAUGGAUCCGCGCUGCAUUAGCUAGUUGGUAAGGUAACGGCUUACCAAGGCAACGAUGCAUAGCCGACCUGAGAGGGUGAUCGGCCACACUGGAACUGAGCCACGGUCCAGACUCCUACGGGAGGCAGCAGUAGGGAAUCUUCCGCAAUGGGCGAAAGCCUGACGGAGCAACGCCGCGUGAGUGAUGAAGGUCUUCGGAUCGUAAAACUCUGUUAUUAGGGAAGAACAUAUGUGUAAGUAACUGUGCACAUCUUGACGGUACCUAAUCAGAAAGCCACGGCUAACUACGUG